AACGAGGACAAAACGAAGUAUCUCCUGUCAUCACACAAAGAGUCGGAGGAUACGCGUCUUGGCACCCACGUUACUGUUGACAGCUACAAGUUUGGAAAAGUAGACGACUUCGUUUACUUGAGAACCAGCAUUAACACCAAU